rnacentral:rRNA from 1 species
UACGUAGGGGGGCUAGCGUUAUCCAGAAUUACUGGGCGUAAAGCGCGUGUAGGCGGCUGGUUAAGUGUGAUGUGAAAUCUUCGGGCUCAACCCGAAAACUGCAUUGCAAACUGGCCUGGCUAGAGUGCAGGAGAGGGAAGCGGAAUUCCAGGUGUAGCGGUGAAAUGCGUAGAUAUCGGGAGGAACACCGGUGGCGAAGGCGGUUCUCUGGGCCUUACCUGACGCUGAGGAGCGAAAGCGUGGGGAGCGAACAGGAUAGAUACCGUGUAG